CUAGUAAUCGCGGAUCAGCAUGCCGCGGUGAAUACGUUCCCGGGCCUUGUACACACCGCCCGUCACACCAUGGGAGCCGGUAAUACCCGAAGUCAGUAGUCCAACCUCGUGAGGACGCUGCCGAAGGUAGGAUUGGCGACUGGGGUGAAGUCGUAACAAGGUACC
rnacentral:rRNA from 1 species